rnacentral:rRNA from 1 species
GUUUGAUCCUGGCUCAGGACGAACGCUGGCGGCGUGCCUAAUACAUGCAAGUCGAGCGGACCGACGGGAGCUUGCUCCCUUAGGUCAGCGNCGGACGGGUGAGUAACACGUGGGUAACCUGCCUGUAAGACUGGGAUAACUCCGGGAAACCGGGCUAAUACCGGAUGCUUGAUUGAACCGCAUGGUUCAAUCAUAAAAGGUGGCUUUUAGCUACCACUUACAGAUGGACCCGCGGCGCAUUAGCUAGUUGGUGAGGUAACGGCUCACCAAGGCGACGAUGCGUAGCCGACCUGAGAGGGUGAUCGGCCACACUGGGACUGAGACACGGCCCAGACUCCUACGGGAGGCAGCAGUAGGGAAUCUUCCGCAAUGGACGAAAGUCUGACGGAGCAACGCCGCGUGAGUGAUGAAGGUUUUCGGAUCGUAAAACUCUGUUGUUAGGGAAGAACAAGUACCGUUCGAAUAGGGCGGUACCUUGACGGUACCUAACCAGAAAGCCACGGCUAACUACGUGCCAGCAGCCGCGGUAAUAC